GCCUCCGUAGCUCAGCUGGAUAGAGCAACGGACUUCUAAUCCGUAGGUCGCAGGUUCGACUCCUGCCGGGGGCGCGA
rnacentral:tRNA from 1 species